GAUGAACGCUGGCUGUGUGCCUAAUACAUGCAUGUCGAGCGAGGUUCUUUUGAACCUAGCGGCGAAUGGGUGAGUAACACGUACUUAAUCUACCCUUUAGAUUGGAAUACCCAAUGGAAACAUUGGCUAAUGCCGGAUACGCAUGAAAUCGCAUGAUUUCAAUGUGAAAGGAGCCCUUAAAGCUCCACUAAAGGAUGAGGGUGCGGAACAUUAGUUAGUUGGUAGGGUAAUGGCCUACCAAGACUAUGAUGUUUAGCCGGGUCGAGAGACUGAACGGCCACAUUGGGACUGAGAUACGGCCCAAACUCCUACGGGAGGCAGCAGUAGGGAAUAUUCCACAAUGAGCGAAAGCUUGAUGGAGCGACACAGCGUGCACGAUGAAGGUCUUCGGAUUGUAAAGUGCUGUUAUAGGGAAAGAACACUUGGUUGAGGAAAUGCUUCCAAGCUGACGGUACCCUGUCAGAAAGCGAUGGCUAACUAUGUGCCAGCAGCCGCGGUAAUACAUAGGUCGCAAGCGUUAUCCGGAAUUAUUGGGCGUAAAGCGUUCGUAGGCUGUUUAUUAAGUCUGGAGUCAAAUACCAGGGCUCAACCCUGGCUCGCUUUGGAUACUGGUAAACUAGAGUUAGAUAGAGGUAAGCGGAAUUCCAUGUGAAGCGGUGAAAUGCGUAGAUAUAUGGAAGAACACCAAAGGCGAAGGCAGCUUACUGGGUCUAUACUGACGCUGAGGGACGAAAGCGUGGGGAGCAAACAGGAUUAGAUACCCUGGUAGUCCACGCCGUAAACGAUGAUCAUUAGUCGGUGGAGAAUUCACUGACGCAGCUAACGCAUUAAAUGAUCCGCCUGAGUAGUAUGCUCGCAAGAGUGAAACUUAAAGGAAUUGACGGGGACCCGCACAAGCGGUGGAGCAUGUGGUUUAAUUUGAAGAUACGCGGAGAACCUUACCCACUCUUGACAUCCUUCGCAAUGCUAUAGAGAUAUAGCGGAGGUUAACGGAGUGACAGAUGGUGCAUGGUUGUCGUCAGCUCGUGUCGUGAGAUGUUUGGUCAAGUCCUGCAACGAGCGCAACCCCUAUCUUUAGUUACUAACGAGUCAUGUCGAGGACUCUAGAGAUACUGCCUGGGUAACUGGGAGGAAGGUGGGGAUGACGUCAAAUCAUCAUGCCUCUUACGAGUGGGGCAACACACGUGCUACAAUGGUCGGUACAAAGAGAAGCAAUAUGGCGACAUGGAGCAAAUCUCAAAAAGCCGAUCUCAGUUCGGAUUGGAGUCUGCAAUUCGACUCCAUGAAGUCGGAAUCGCUAGUAAUCGCAGAUCAGCUACGCUGCGGUGAAUACGUUCUCGGGUCUUGUACACACCGCCCGUCACACCAUGGGAGCUGGUAAUACCCAAAGUCGGUUAGCUAACCUCGGAGGCGACCGCCUAAGGUAGGACUGGUGACUGGGGUG
rnacentral:rRNA from 1 species